rnacentral:rRNA from 1 species
AAUGAACGUUGGCGGCGUGGAUUAGGAAUGCAAGUCGUGCGAGAAGUCUUUUGCUUGCAUUAGACGGAAAGCGGCGAUAGGGAGAGUAACGCGUGGGUACCUACCUCUAGUGUCGGGCUAGCUGCGGGAAACUGUGGGUGAUACCGAAUAAGAUCUCCGGAUCGAAGGUGUGCUUCCGCCUGGAGACGGGCCCGCGUCCUAUUAACUUGUUGGUGGGGUAAUGGCUUACCAAGGCAAUGAUGGGUAUCGGGCGUGAGAGCGUGACCCGACUCACUGGGACUGAGACACUGCCCAGACACCUACGGGUGGCUGCAGUCGAGAAUCUUCGGCAAUGGGCGCAAGCCUGACCGAGCGACGCCGCGUGCGGGAUGAAGGCCCUCGGGUUGUAAACCGCUGUCAGUUGGGAGGAAAUCACAUGGGGUUCUCUCCAUGUGUUGACCUAUCUUCAGGGGAAGGACGGGCUAAGUUCGUGCCAGCAGCCGCGGUAAGAC